AGUAAAUGGGACUGUUACUGGUAGACUGGUGGACCUGUUCACUUCCAACAACAGUGUAUUGGAAAUGGAGGCAACAGAGAAAAAGGAACACUCCCGCGGAGCUCUGACACCAGUGUACCUGAGACCACGCUCCAAGUCAGCAUUCGAUAUCUCAAGCAACUCGUCUCGAGUUGAGGCAGGAGUGAAAGGUGAAAGUCCAGUCAAACCGGGUCUGUACAACCGCCGGUCUUAUGAGGGAAUCCGAACAGUUUCGUUUUCAUCUGACAAUGC